AGUGAGUGGUGACCUUACGUACGUGUCAUCAUCUAUGAUCACCUGGCAAAUGAGUGAUAGUUGUUGAUGUGAGUGCGUGGAAAAUUUACACCAAGAUGGAAUUAUCGGAGGUUGUCAACACACAGUAUGCUUUUCCAGUUGGAGUUGUAUUAAUAUGUGCUGUGUUGGUAUUUGCAUUUGGUUUCAAAUCUGCAGAGCAACCUGCGUUUGCUCAGCUCACGUAUACGGGCGAUGACCGGAAACCAGCUGGCAAGAAACGAAAAACGAAGGACAAGAAGAUACAGUCAAAUGGCCAUGUAACAAAUGUAAAUGAAGACAUUGCAGAAACAAAACAGAAACAAAAUGAUGCAGGUAGCUCAAAAUCAAACACCAGUAAAGUUGUGCCAAAACAAGGAAGAGAAAGUAGGCAUGAUAUCGAGAAGUCUCCUUCAAAGGAUAUUUCUAACAAGGCUGCUGGGAAGCAUCAGAAACAGAACAAACAGGAAACAUCUCCUGCUAAAGAGCAACAGAGUAAACCAGGAACCAAAGAAACUGUCAACAAGUCUGUGGCUAUCAAAAUCCAGAAAGAAAGCAAGAAGGAAGCUUCAGAACCCCUGUCAAAGCAACUGAAGGAAAGGAAGCAGGAUAUUUUAGAAAAAUCUCCAUCUAAGGACAGUAACAAAAGUUCUUCUCCUAAACAAUCAAAGGGCAAAGGAAAGGAGAAUCAAGUGGAACAGAUUAAGAACAAGAAGAAUGAAAAGAAUCUUGCAAAGCUGAGGGCAGAAGAAAAGCCAAUUGAUUUUGAUGAUGGGGAGUGGGAGCAAGCACUAUCGAGAAAAGACAAGAAAAAUCGGAAAAAGGAUGAUCCUUUGACUACUGAUGAUGCUGUUCCAGAAAACAUAGUAAAGAAGGAAACAGGGAGUCCAUCUAAGAAGAAGAAAGCUAAAAGCAAUGAUGCUGCUAAUAUAGAGACUGUUCAUGCUGAAGAUACUAAGAUUCUUGAUGAUGAUAAUAAUGAAAAGACUCCAGAGAAGAAACCAUCCAACAUAGAAGAAAAAGAUGAAGUUAAAAUAAGCCCAGAGGAGGAAGCUGUGCCAGUUGUGGAAGUUACUGCAACUCCAGAGAUAAAAUCAACCGAAGAGUCUAGGAUUGUCCCAGAAACUGCAACAAAAUCAAAGAAGAAGAGCAAGAAGAAAUCAUCUGGCAAAUCUUCAGAAACAGAAGCUGCUGUGGCAAUUGACACAGCAAUAGAAACUGAGGUAGUAACUCUGCCUCCUCCAGUUGUUGAGGUACAAGUUGAGCAGAAACAACAAAAUGAAGUCAAGGGAGAAGCAGAGACUAGGGCAGAAACCAUACCCAAGAAUGAACUAGAAAACACUGUGGCUUUUGAUGAACUUGGAGAUGUUUGGAAAGAAGCAAAAGCACAGAAGAAAAACAAGAAGAAAGUCCGCAAGGAUCAGUGAACCAGAAGAAAAAAAUGAAGAAAUGAGACAGCUUUUUAGAAAUGGUGGAGAAAUAAAAUUAAUCCGUCUUCUUGAGAACUGUAUCAAGAAAUAAAUUCCUGAUUUAUUAUGUUCCUGAAAAUCUGCAUGCAUGUCUUAUUCCAAGUUGUUUGCAGACACGAAAGUUAAGUAUAGUGGACCAGUGAAAUGAAUGCCUUACAGUUUUUGUAAUAACUAAAUCAGUACAAUGUAAAUGAAAUUAAACAAAACAGUUGUGUGAUAUAAUGUAUAAUUCUAAAAGAAAAUUGACACAAAAAGAACUUCUAUAUGCCUAUAUAUAUUAUAUAUAUAAAUAUUUGUAUAAUGUCAGUCUGUUAUUCAAAACAGUAUUUUUAUUGUCUGUUGUUUAAUUCUAAUUAAUUAACAAAAUAUUGGUUACUUACAAAUGUUCUGAGAUGUUUGCUUUUGUAACACACAAGAUCUAAGACAGUUUCUUACAGUAUUUGUAUCACGUGUAGCAGUUGUUUCAGAUUGGAUUUGUGAUAGCACACUUCUGCCCCCACAGAACUGUCUCUUUAGGGAUAGAUACAGUGCAAUGUUGUGUAGUAGUGUUUACUUUGUGUUAAUGAAUCACAAGCCCUGUUCAACUCGGGGAUUGUGGGUAGAGUGGUGUUGCCUGUCUUGUCUGUGACAUAUCUAUUCCUGAAGUAAAUAAUCUCAUUUUUUGGUGUAUUUGCAUACACUGAAGUUUAAAUAAGUGUGUUAGUAAGAAUCUAUCACAUUUGAGUCAAAACAAUUAACACUCAUGUUCUUUUUCCUCUCAACUCUUCAUUUUGGAGAAACCUUGAAGCUGUCAUUAACACUUAUGAUAAGGCUGUAGUGGUCUAAUACUAUGUUUUGAUUUAUUAAUUAUUUUUGCAGGCCAGGGAAGAUCACUUAAUAAAGACAGACAAUGAAAUAGAUUCUGAUAUUAUUAUACUGUAAAACUGAAUGCUGAUGAGCUAGAAUUUUGAUCAAAAAAAUGUUUAAAAAGAGAUCUGCACACAGAUAUUACUGUUUUAGGUACAGAAAGUAACUUCUUCUUUAUUGUAUGCCAUGACAACAAAAGUAAGCAUACUGUGAACAGCUGUUAUAAUGGGCAGAUUGAAAAAUGAUACUUAUUAACUUUGAUAUUUUGUGACUGUACUAUGAGACACUGGCAUCUGGUAGUAAGUAAAUGAAUUUUAGGACCUGCAAGAACCAUAUUUGUUCAACUACAGCAGUAAUAUUACAUAAUACUGUUCUAACAAUGCAAAUCUUUUGAUACCAUAUUAUUGCUGCUGAGUCUGUAGUCUAACCCCUCACACAGUAGUAUUGUUGGUAGCUAUACUGCAAGUGUUUAUGAUCAGUAAUUUUAAAUGAAAUUGUUUUGACAUUGAUGUUCUUUAGUGAAGUUCUAAAUUCAGUUUUGGUGGUGGUGGUUGAAAGUUUGAGAUGUGCCAGGAUCUAUUUCAUACAACUGGAUGACAUAGGUUAUUGAAUGAAUGACAGGGAAAGAAUAAAUGAUGCAAUAAGACUGUAUGUACUUGUUUACCUUAAUUAUUGGGUGCAUGCAUUUUGUAUGAGUGGGUGUAAGAUAAAUUUUAAUAUAUUUUUGUUCAUUUUGUUCCUGUUGCCUUCCAACAUACCUUACCCCAACUAUCCCUGUAAUUAUGUUAAAUCAAGGACUUGUGUUUGUCCUGUUUUAUUAGAAAUGGAGCUGCUGGGACUAAAUUGUUAUUACUAAAUCAUGCAGUGUUAUCCAGUUACUUCUAGGAAAAAGGCAGAGAAAAUAUCUUUAACUGUAUUAUAAGUGUAUAGAUUUAGGUGCAUUUUGGGUAAGUUAUUUUGUGCAUGUAUUCAGCAGAAGAAAUUAUUUAGCGUGGUUGGGUUUUUUAUUUUGUUGAAAGUAGUGCUGCUUUUCUUUUUAUAAAGUUUGAAAAAUAUUAUACAAAAUGUCUACAGUGGUGGAUGUCAGGGCACAUUAAGAAUUUACAAAUGUUAAAAGGUUUAUAUAUAUAUGUUUUAUGUGUUGUGUGCAUAAAUAACAAGUGAUGUGAUUUGAGCUCUUACAUAUCCGGGUGACAUGAAAGAAAUCUGUGUUCUGCAAUUUUUUAUUUUUUGGCUGAGUUUGAAGGCCACAGUGUCUUGAUAAGUAGGAUUUGAGGUUCUCAGAGCAGUGAGUAUGAAUAUGGCUGUCUUCUGGGUUGUAGCACCAAGUACUCUGGUAGUUUACCUUUGUUUCAGAGAUUCUUACUGCCUCCAUCAUCAGGAUGAUGAUCGCUCUGGUGAUGGAGGCAGCAAGGACCUCUUGAAACACUGGUAAACUACUACCAGAGUACAUGGUACUACAACCCAGAAGAGAGCCAUUUUAGUGUCUUGAUGUUUUUUGUGUUCUUAGUUUUUAUGUUGACACACACAGGGUACAAAGUAGAAUUUUGGAUAUGCCAUUUUUAGUGCAUUUUCAUCAAGGCUAUGUUGCUGUUAAGUGGUAUUUGUAUGUGAACGCUCUGGUUACAUGCUACUGCAGCAGAAGGCAACAAGGUUUAUGUUACAUUUGAAUUAAGUAUGAGUUAUAGAAGGUCCAUUAGAUAGCCAAAGUUUGUCUGCUUGCUAUUCUGCCUGAAUCCACCUCUGAAUGAGAGUGAAAUGUGUGAAAUUCUUUUAUUAGUGUUUGAAAAUGAAGUCAUGUGUUUGACCUAUUAGCCAUUAACUCGGUGAAAUCUAUAGUCCGUACAGCUUGACCUCAUACAGACACCCCAAUUAUUUUUACCGUCAAUUGCUUAGGAAACACCUACUGAUAGACAUUGUUAAUGGCAGAAAGCAAGCUGGUGACCCAAAUAAAAUGGCAGAAUAGUCUGGCUUUGUUAAUGAGCAGUUAAAUUAUUUUGUCAGUGCCUUAUUUUUUGAGUGUGAUCAUAGUGAUACUUGUUUGUCAUCUUAUUCAGUAAUAGAUUGUAAUGUACUGUGUAGAUAUUUUAAACUGGACACAGCUUUUCCCAUGCUUUUCUUUCCAUUUAUUACUUUUUAGUAUGGAAUGAUUAUUUAAUUGUUAAAAUUAUUAGGCUACCCUGUCCACUAAAACAUCAGCUUCAUCUGUCUUACAGUACACAUCUUGAUUGCAGUUAAAGUAAGUCACCAGUGCAUAUCUUCUUUGUGAAUAAUUUAAAACACAUUCUAGUAUGCUUUUAUACUAAGCUGUUGAUCAUAAAAGUACUUUGAUAAUUGUGGUGCAGCAAAUAUGGUUUCACUUAAUGUUUUUUUGUAAAAUGUAAUUGUCAUGCAAGUUUUCAGCAAUAUUUGACUCAAACAGAAACAAUUAUCUAAUGAGCCUUCUUGAGUAAGAAAGACCACAGAAUAUUAAAGCAGUGCCAAUAGAAUAAUAAAAUAUAUGAGUUGGAGGAGACGCAGACUUAUCAUUGCUGUUUAAUCAAUCGACCUGUUCCUGAAGCCAUGAAGUUAUGCCCAAGUGAACAAUUCGGUAUAUAAUAUUUUUUAUUGUAGUAGUGAUUCUGCUUAUUUAAAGGAAGUGCCAGAAUGAAUAAUGAUGUAACCAAGCAUUGACAAAAAGUAUAUUGUCUAUUACAAGGGUACAGUGAUUAUUUGAAUUAUAUCUUGAUAACUGGUUAUGUUUUGUAAUGUCAAAAUAUAAGUCAACCAUGUCAGUGUUUUGUAUAUGCAUGUGCAAUAUUUUGGUCAGGUUUGUUUUUGAUAUUUGGAAAUUAUUGCUUACCACAAGUUAAAAUGUACUGGAAUUUUUCAUCAGUCCCUCACAUGUCAGCAUAAAAUAUUUUAUUAACUUGCUUGUGGUGUGUUGAUUGAUAUGUACCUGAAAUUUUAUGUAAAUUUAUAUACUAAAUCUUAUAAUUUAAGGUCAUAAAGUAUUAUUUGUCAGUAACGUAGAUUGGAAGUGGCUUUUACUAUGACAUUGUAAAUACAAGACUUCUUGCAAGAAUAAGAAAAUAUAUUACAUAGCAUAAUAUGAAAUAAAUAUGGAGUCAUCUAUUUAUCCCAUUAAACUUAAAACAUGUACAUCAAUGGUUUCAAACCUUUUCUGAUUUGCACAUCAGUAAAACAGCACUGGGUUUUCUGAGGAUCAGUACAUUGAAUGUCUCACGUUGUACAGUACAAGUAGUUGCAUAUCUAAUUUUUACUCAGCAUUGUCAUGAAGUAAGCGGGAUUAGUUGUUAAUGAACUUUGUAGGUGAGGUUUCAGGUCUUGUGGGAAGCAUGAAGAGGACUGUCUUCUGGGAUAUUAUGCAAUGUAGUGAUGGUGGGGGCAGUAAGCACCUCUGAAACAUAGCCAGUUUCUACCAGAUUGCACAGCACAUCAUCCCAGAAGACAGUUAUCUAAUCAGUUUGUAGGUGUGGUUCAUCUUUCCAUCUUUUCUUUGGCCAUCUAGGAUCUCUAUGCUUCAUUGUUUUAUAUUUCAGUUCCUGUUUUGGUAUUAUGUUUGUGUAUGUAUAGCCAAUAUUUUGGUGAUCUUGUUCUGCAGUUCCAUGGGAAGGUUACCUCAUUUGUGCUGCUUCCAGUCUUACAAUGACACUUUUGUUCAUUACUUAUUCCUCACCACCAUGUUCUAUUUUUGCUUUGUUCAGGUCUUGUUUUUGUUUAUCAUAACAUUUGCUGAAGUUUCUCUUUGUAAUGCUGUGUGUUUUGUUACAAGACUAAUUUUAUUUUCAUACCCCUUCUGUGGUCUGAGGUGGAGUUUCAUAAAUAUUAAAUUAUGGUAACUGUCUAAAACAAUUUUUAUACAUUCCCAUGGAUUUUAUUUGGUGGCUUUUAUUUGUAAUUAUGUUUGGUUGGUGUGCCAUGGUUUGAAAUUCAUCCUUGAUUCAAGAUUGUAGGCCGUGAUCAAUUGCAUAUAGUAUCAUAUUAAUUUUUCUGACAGGUAUCGACAGGACCCCAUCUGCAACUUUUCCAUUCUUGUAAGGCCUCGUUGCUGUUGCGUAAAACAGUAUAGGUGAUAAACCACAUUCCUGUCAUAAGCCCUUCUUUGUAGCAGGAAUUUCUGCAUUUACAUUUUUAUAUGUAUUUGUUUCUAUAAAACAAUUUUAUUGCUUGUAUUAAUGUGUGUUUUAUAAUUUCCAGAGUAAAUGACUGUUUAGGUCAUCAUAUUCUUUUCCAUAAUAUGUGAAGAGUAUAAAUCUGAGUAGAAUAAAUUUUCUUCUUCUUGUUGAAUGGUAAGGAUGGUAGUUGUAGAUGGUCUAGAACCUUCAGUUGGUCAUCAUUAUAGAUUGCAUUUUAAUAUGUAGAUGAUGGGAUUGUUAUGAAAUUAAAUAGAUAUUUUCACCUUCCUAUUUUUUUUCUGCUAUUUCCUUUCUAUGUGUUUCCUGUGUUAUGUUGAAAAUAUUUCUUCAGAAUAUAUAAGAUUUGAAGCUUUCACAGCCUCUGUCACAGGGUUGUUCCACCCUGAUGGAGGCAGAGACAGUCUCUGAAAUGGAUUUGAACUUCAUGCUUACAUGGCUGAUUGUCCGAGGAGUACUCAUUGCUUUGCUUUGUGGUCUUGUUCAUACGAUUUUUUAUUUAAUAUUAAAACAAAGGCUUUCAAUAUGCUAAUUUGUUUUCAGUUUGGAUUAUUAAAAUUAUGUACUCCAGGUAAAAAAUGUACUCCAAAGCCACAUCAUCUAAUGCUUUUGUGAUUUUGUAGUGUGCCUCACCUGAUGUUGCCAUCAUGCUAUACCUAUGUAGUAUCAGUGUUUAAUUUUUAAAUGCUGUUUAUGAUGACCCUAGGUUUUAAAUAUUGUAGUUAUAACCAAAGCAGAUUCCUGUUGAAAUGCCUCCUGAUAUGCUACAAAAUGGGAACAGGCAUAGAUUAAAACAUAAAUCUUAAUUAUUUCUAGUUCACACUUAUUCUAUUGAUACUCAGACUUAGCUGUACCAGACCAUGAAGUGAAUGUAGUCAGCAUUAUAAAAUGUUGAUUUUAAAAUCAAAAGUGGCACAUUCAGGGCCUAAUGUUUACUUUUAUUUGGUGCAUACAUCAUUUACAUUAAAAUGUCAGCAGUAAUCAUGGGGAAAAAGCAGUAAUGGAUAUAAUGAGCAACAUUUGCUAGAGACAGUAUUCUUAUUACUUCUAAAACAAUAUAAUACCUUUUUUACAUUCUUUUCAUUCUUUACUUAUUUCAGUUAAAUAUUCGAUUUAUUAAUGUUAUACAGAUAUAAGAUAAAUAUAAAUAGGACUGCAGUUUAAGAUAUACUUCAUUUUACAGUAUACAUCAUUGAAGAACCAAAAACCCAUUUCCAAUUUUCUGUGCUGAUAAGUAACAAGUAUGCCUUGUCAUAAAUAUUAAAGAUGUUAUAACCCAUGGAAAUGCUGAAAAUGAGAUGUCAUGUCAUUAAACUAACUUAUGCCCAGUUAAAAUUUUGGCCAAAUUAUUCAAAUUUAUUCCAACCAGUAUUUUCCCAGAAUUAGAAAGAAGUAAAACGUAACUUGAGUUGAAUAUUUUUAUGAUUUAAUUCCUGUAAGAAAAUACAAAAAAAUCCUCUAUGAAAAGUUAAUUUUUUGCCAUUGUAAAUUAAUAUUUAUCAGAUUGUUCUCUAAGAGUUUACAAAGGUAAUACAGACAUUUAAAUGAAGAAAUAAAUAUAGAUCCAUUCAACUGAGAACAAUUUGAAGAAAUGGUUAUAUGCCAGCCAUGGAGAGAAGUUGCUACAAUGAAAUGGUACCUUUCUGGGAAAUUAACUUAAGCCAAAGUUGGUAUUUGAGUUUGGUUAUAACAUGUGUCUAAAUAAUAUAACUUGACAUGCCCUAUAUUGAUAUGCAGCUGUUGGGCUACUUUUCACUUAAAUCUUUAACUUCAUGUUCUUGAUACCAUAUCCUCUUGUAUUUGCCUUUUGUAUGAUAUAUAAUAUUCAGAUGAUGAACUAUAAAUAUUAUGUAAAGUUUAGUUUUGUUUGCAGAUUUUGGAAAUAAUAAUAUUUUAUACAGAGGAACUGGAGGUAAUGUUACAGAUGUGUAGUCUACAAGACUCACUGCUUGUAAGUGUUACAUAUGUUGCUUAAAAAGUUUAUUGGUAUUACAAGAAGAAGUCUGUGGUUGGAAAUUUGUGUUAUUUUAAUUUUGUUUAGCUUUGUUUUCAGCUCAUUGUUUAUGCAUAAUUCAUUGUCACUGGUCUGAUAAGCUGGUGUAACACAAAUCAUGCCUUUUGUGUUUGCACUGAAGCCAGUAAUGCACCAACAGUGGUGAUCAGUUGACUGGUUAUAUACUUUAAUGAAGGAAAUACUUAUUCUAAAAUUGUGUCUUAGUUCAAUUAUUCACCAGUACUGUCUAUAUGAUUUUCACAUUGUGCAGCCAGAUUUGUUUUCUCCUUGCAGAUAAGUAGAGGUGUUAAUGUUUGUUUAUUUUAAAAAAAUUGUUAAUUCUUCUAAUUAUUAUUUGUAUGAAUAAAUUAUAAUGAAACAAAUUAGUAAAGGAUAAAGUAUAUAGAAAGUGUUUCAUAUGUUUGUUGGUUAUUUGGUGUGAAGUUAUAUAUCAUUUGGGACCAUUUGAAUUUGAAAAUAAAUUGUGAAACAGUAA